GAAUCAGGGUCGCUGUCACAGUCUCCAGAAUCGCUGGUGCUGGGGAGCGAUCGACUUCUCGAUCGUCACCCCGCUCCAGCUCUCUUGGCCGGGCCCGGCACGCAGGAAGGAGACGUGGCUAAAACGUGAGCACCCAGCUUCAGAGGCUCCUUACCGAGCUCUCUCCAUCCUCCUGUGACUGGGCCCUUGACUCAGCCUCUGUGAGAUUGAGAGAGCGCUCUUUCUGAUCAAAACAGCAGGCGUUUAGCCUUGGGCGGAGGCGGGGAGGCGGCGCGCCAGGCCUCGGAACGCCGAGCGCGAAGGCUGAACCCGCUGGACGGAGAGGGCUCGGCGGGCUCCCAAGUGCAACUAAGGGGAGGUGGUGAUACACAGGCAACCAGGCACUGCUCUCGCUGGACAAAGCCAGCUGUACCUAUCAAACAGGAACCAGACCGAAAAGCAAGCUUGGGAGAGGACCAGGCUGGCCUCACGCCUGCUGAGCUCCCUGUUCUCUCUCUCUGUACAUGCCUUUCCCUCCCGGAAGGGCCGUGACCUCAUCUGUAAAACCAGGCCAUUAAGCUCACUCCAUAGGCUGUGGUAAAGAUGACAAAAGAUGGUAUCUAGAAUGUGCUAGAGAAAUGACAUACUCUAUUUCUGGUCCUGACCCCUCUGUGGGUGGUUUUUUUUUCAGCAGUGGUGGAAGGCACACACCCCGAUAUAUGCACACUCUCUGGUGACAUUUUUAAGGGAAUCUGGUCCGGGAACAGUGGGUUAACAGUAACAUCAAGUGCCCUAGCCCCCCUAAAGGAUGGCAUCUGUGCUCCUUUCUCAGCCGAGGGCCUGGCUUGAGAUGGACAGUGACGCUGAUGGUGAGAGCUCUGCCAACCUGGACUGAGAGAAAGCUCAGCGACUCGGUCUGGACAUGCCUCACCCCAUCCAGCCCUGAAGAAGAAGGCACCUUUCCUGCUUUUCUUCCACCCUGGGGGAGAGUGCGGGGUUUGUCUGGCAACCUGGGAGUAUGACAGGGGGGUCAGAGAAGGGAGGAACCCACUGGAGUCAAAAUCAAAGUCUGCCCAUCAGCUGUUUGAAAGAAA
rnacentral:lncRNA from 1 species